AUACGGAGGGUGCAAGCGUUACUCGGAAUCACUGGGCGUAAAGCGCGCGCAGGCGGCUUGAUAAGUUGGAUGUGAAAGCCUACGGCUCAACCGUAGAACUGCAUCCAAAACUGUCAGGCUAGAGUGUGGGAGAGGAAGAUGGAAUUGGUUGUGUAGGGGUAAAAUCCGUAGAGAUAACUAGGAAUACCAAAAGCGAAGGCAAUCUUCUGGAACACUACUGACGCUGAGGCGCGAAGGCGUGGGGAGCAAACAGGAUUAGAAACCCUAGUAGUCC
rnacentral:rRNA from 1 species